UACUCCUACGGGAGGCAGCAGUAGGGAAUCUUCCGCAAUGGGCGAAAGCCUGACGGAGCAACGCCGCGUGAGUGAUGAAGGUUUUCGGAUCGUAAAACUCUGUUGUUAGGGAAGAACAAAUUUGUUAGUAACUGAACAAGUCUUGACGGUACCUAACCAGAAAGCCACGGCUAACUACGUGCCAGCAGCCGCGGUAAU
rnacentral:rRNA from 1 species